AGCAGCCGCGGUAAUUCCAGCUCCAAUAGCGUAUAUUAAAGUUGUUGCAGUUAAAAGCUCGUAGUUGAAUUUCGGGGUUAGUAGGUUGGUCAUGCCUCUGGUAUGUACUGGUCUCACUGAUUCCUCCUUCCUGAUGAGCCGUAAUGCCAUUAAUUUGGUGUUGCGGGGAAUUUGGACUGUUACUUUGAAAAAUUAGAGUGUUUAAAGCAAGCUAACGCUUGAAUACAUUAGCAUGGAAUAAUGAAAUAGGACGUUCGAUCCUAUUUUGUUGGUUUCUAGGAUUGACGUAAUGAUUAAUAGGGAUAGUUGGGGGCAUUAGUAUUCAAUUGUCAGAGGUGAAAUUCUUGGAUUUAUUGAAGACUAACUACUGCGAAAGCAUUUGCCAAGGAUGUUUUCAUUAAUCAAGAACGAAAGUUAGGGGAUCGAAGACGAUCAGAUACCGUCGUAGUCUUAACCAUAAACUAUGCCGACUAGGGAUCGGAUGAUGUUAAUUUUUUAAUGACUCAUUCGGCGCCUUAAC
rnacentral:misc_RNA from 1 species